rnacentral:misc_RNA from 1 species
AACGCACAUUGCGCCCUCUGGUAUUCCGGAGGGCAUGCCUGUUCGAGCGUCAUUAUCAACCCUCAAGCUCGGCUUGCUGUUGGGUCUCACCGUGGCAGAAACGGUGGAUCCCAAAGAUAAUGGCAGAGUCCGUGGGGACCCUGGAUGCAGCGAGCUUCUAGCACGCGUCUGGAUGGUUUCCGGGUUCGGUCUUAACCAAUUGACUUCUUCUGGUUGACCUCGGAUCAGGUAGGGAUACCCGCUGAACUUAA